GAUGAACGCUGGCGGCGUGCCUAAUACAUGCAAGUCGAGCGAACGGACGAGAAGCUUGCUUCUCUGAUGUUAGCGGCGGACGGGUGAGUAACACGUGGAUAACCUACCUAUAAGACUGGGAUAACUUCGGGAAACCGGAGCUAAUACCGGAUAAUAUUUUGAACCGCAUGGUUCAAAAGUGAAAGACGGUCUUGCUGUCACUUAUAGAUGGAUCCGCGCUGCAUUAGCUAGUUGGUAAGGUAACGGCUUACCAAGGCAACGAUGCAUAGCCGACCUGAGAGGGUGAUCGGCCACACUGGAACUGAACCGGGGUCCAGACUCCUACGGGAGGCAGCAGUAGGGAAUCUUCCGCAAUGGGCGAAAGCCUGACGGAGCAACGCCGCGUGAGUGAUGAAGGUCUUGGGAUCGUAAAACUCUGUUAUUGGGGAAAAACAUAUGUGUAAGUAACUGUGCACAGCUUGACGGUACCUAAUAAAAAAGCCCCGGCUAACUACGUG
rnacentral:rRNA from 1 species